GAUAAAUAAUAUUAGUAGCCAACCAUUUCAAAAUUUUUUUUUUUACCACUUUCAUUAUGUUAGGAUUUAAUCUUCUUUGUGGUUCUCUACUUAGUCUAGCUCCUUUCUCUAAAUAUAUAUUAUGCAUACACACAUUCAUAUCAAUGCCUCUAAGAUCAUUCAUUUUCUAGCUAAUAGCUUUCUUAUUUUUUCGAAUUACUUCUAUUAAUUCUUCCUCUUGCUCAUUAUUCAAAUCAGCUGCAAUAAUAACAAGGAAUGAGUUAUUUUCCUCUAGAAAUGCAUAUUUUAAAUUAGAAGGAAAAGGUUUUAGCUCUAAAUUCAUGUGAUCUUCUUCCUUCUUCUCUCUUAUAUUUAUGUUUUCAAUUUCCUUUAAUUCUUCUAUCACACAAUCAUCAAUAAUAUCUAGACCAUCAAAAUCAUCUAAAAGUUAUAUGGUAUGACAAUCAUACACUUGAGAUUUCUUAAGAUCAUUUAAUACCUCAAAGAUUUUAAUUUCUACUGAUUGAUCUCCACAUAAAAUUUUUGCAAUACCUGUGGGGAAAUCAAUAUUCAUCUUUGCUGUAUGCAAUAAUGGUUUCCCUAAGAUGAUUGGGGUGUCAUAAAAUUGUCCAUUAAAAUCUAUUUCCAACACUACAAAAUCAGCUGAAAAUUUACAUCCUUUCACUGUUACUAUCACAUUUUCUAAAAUACCUUUAAGAUUUUUAAUUGAUCUAUUAGCAAAUUGUAAUGUGAUAGUAGAUGGUUUAAGAUUAGAAAUAUUAAAUUUAUCAUAAAUACUUGCAAGUAAUAAAUUAAUAUUAACACCGG
rnacentral:lncRNA from 1 species